rnacentral:lncRNA from 1 species
AUGACUCGCCUCCUCUCAGUGACCACAGGUUGGUUGAGGGGUUUAACAAGGCUAAGAAGGUGAGACGUGGUCUUGUAACACAGUGGUUAAGAAUGUGACUUUGGAGCCAGCCUGCUAGGGGCUGAAUUCUGACUCAGCCAUUUACUAACUGUGUGACCUUAGGGAGGAGGACCUGGUUGAUAGAAGAAUUUAUCUCGUAGUCUUAACAUCCACUGUAAUUCCAAACUUUGAGGACGAUAGAGAUCAGUGGGCUUUGACUGCCCAGCAUGCAGUCUCCAUUCUUAGGUCACAGAAUUUUCCACACUCCUUGACAGAGGUGCUUAACCCUUAUCCAUCAGCAUUCUCAGACAGCACCUCCGGUUAGGGACAGUAUCUGACCGUCCGACAUCCCUGCAGCCCCCAUGUGUCACACAGACUCAGCCUCAGGUAGAUGGUUUCCGUAGAUGGUGGCUUUCUUUGGACCCUUGACAUCAACCAGUUACUAUUUGCUCAGCAAGGCCCACAUUUUCCCGGUGAAGCCACAGAACCACAGGGAGAAACCCAUGGACUUCGCCUCUCUCUCUAGGGGACCAGAUGUGCAGAGGUAAUGAAUACCAGGGAAUCAGGAAACCACUGGAUCAGUUCUUUGAGCCACAGAACAACACUCAUCCCAGCAGCUGGGAAGCUAUCUGCAAAAGUCCAUCUGCAGAAAGGGCUUCCUGGUCUUGCGUGUGGCUGGGCCAUUUCUCUGGAUGCAGGUUUUUCAUUAUACAGUCUUCUCAAAGAACCACCUGCUCUCAACACC